UACAAGUACCCUGAGGGAAAGUUGAAAAGAACUUUGAAGAGAGAGUUCAAAAGGACGUGAAACCGCUCGUAGGGAAACGGAUAGAACCACGAAGUGUAGCUGGAAGGAGAAUUCAGCUCUUUCGCACGGUGUUGCCGGGGCAUCAGGCUGUGGAGUAUGCUUUCAUACAGCAUCAAGAUCACCAGUAUUGGGGUAACCCAGUAUUGGCCUUGAGCUCCAUAGUCUAUGGUAUGUUCCAGGAUACUCUAGGCAACAUUCGUGUGGGGAGUGCAUUUUCUCAUCUUCCGUGCUCGAGUCUCGACCAGUGUGGUGGAGUAUUGAGAGAAUACUCGUAUACAGUGACCAUAGAAAGGUAUGCUAACACCAUACCUGAUCUACACUUGGUUAUCAAUGCUACUGUACAUCCUUGCGGUGAAUAGACUAGCAGUGAGCCAAUUUAGGCAGCUAUGAUCACAUACACACUGGACAAGAAUCUCUGCGUAUGCAGGGUCAACACAGUGCCGGGUAAGGUACUUAUGUGUGCCCGAGUAGUGUAUUCGCUAUUGAAUGCUGUUUCUGUACUCAGUGCAGGAACGAUUCAUGGUUAUGCUACUCUUUGGUGGUUCACACUAGUAUAUCUUACUCGGUUACAUGGACUGUUGAUGUGAUUCGGAGGCAAGUAGAUCGGUACUCUAUCCGACCCGUCUUGAAACACGGGACCAAGG
rnacentral:rRNA from 1 species